rnacentral:lncRNA from 1 species
CGGCCUCGCUUCCCCCACUGCGGCCGGGGUUACGCUGGCAUUCUUGAGGGCCCGCUCCUUCUCGGGGAGGGACGAUGGGCUCAGAGGAUCACCGUGUGUCGGAGUGGCCGGCGGCGGCGGCGGCGGCGGCGGCGGCAGUGGCCGCGGCGGCGGCGGCGGCGCGGCGGCGGCGGCGGCCGUCUUGCAAGCGAACUUCUUCAGGCUGGGGGAGGUGAUCUUCUGCACGAUGGCCUCCAGCUUCAGGCCGCGGCCUUUCCGCGGAGGCAGGACCUUGGUCUUCAUGGCCCCCGGGAAGGCGGCCCGGGAGGUGAUCUUGAUGCACACGUCUGGGGUCUCGGGUGGAGGGGGCUUCGGGCCGGGCUCUCCGGCACCCUUGGCGGGCUUCGCCUUCUUCGGGGAGGAGAUGCGCUUGAAGAGGCUAGGAGAGGCCUCGGCCUUGUCCUCUUUGAGGCACCGCCGCUGCGCAGGAUCAGAUUCCUCUUCUUGGUAGGGACGGGGGACAGGAAGACUGGAUUUCCUCUUCAGGGAGUGGAGGGCCGGGUCGGGGUAGCUUGGCCCCGACUCCGGCCCGGGCUUGGGGAGCUUCUCCCUCCGGGCUUCCUCUCCCUUCCUUCUGGGUUGGCCCGCCGGCCCCCCUGGAAGGCCGGGGGAGGUGGUGUUGGAGAUGAGUUCUUGGGGGGUCUGCAGUUCUUCGUCCUCCUCCCCUCCGUGGACCGCCUCCGCUUUGGGCGGAACAGCUCCUGGGCCUUGGUCCGGGACCGGAGGAUCAUGGAUCUCUGGUCCUUCCCGGAGAGAGAUGGGAAGCAGCGGGGCCAAGUGGAAAGAGCACAAACUGGGGGCCAGAGGACCUGGAUUCUAGUACUGGCUUGGCCAGGUGUCUGCUGUGUGACUUUGGACAAGUUCCUUAAUUUCAAUGUGCCUCAGUUUUCCCAACUGUAAAAUGGGGAUUAAAUGCCUGUUCUCCCUCCUACUUAGACUGUGAGCCCACGUGAGACAGGGACUGUGUCCAACCGGAUUGCCCUGUACCCUGUCUCUACCCCAUCUAGAGAAGCAGCGUGGCUCAGUGGAAAGAGCACGGGCUUUGGAGUCAGAGGUCAUGGGUUCGAAUCCCAGCUCUGCCACUUGUCAACUGUGUGACUGUGGGCAAGUCACUUAACUUCUCUGUGCCUCAGUUACCUCAUCUCUAAAAUGGGGAUUAAGACUGUGAGCCCCACAUGGGACAACCUGAUUCCCGUGUCUACCCCAGCGCUUAGAACAGUGCUCUGCACCUAGUAAGCGCUUAACAAAUACCAACAUUAUUAUUUCCCCAGGGCUUAGAACAAUGCUUGACACAUAGUAAGCACUUAACAAAUACUAUAAUAAUGAUGUUAAUAAUAAUAAUAAUAAAUAAUUGUGGGAUAAAAAUUCUUGUUUUACCUCCUGCUUCAACGUGGACUUGCCUUUUAACCCUGGGAAAUUCAUUCAUUCCCUGGGAUUACAUUCUGGAACUCCAGAUUCCUGGUGCAUAGCUUUAUCCAACUUUACAGUUUUUUUUCUUUUGACUAACUUGUCCUUCCUCUAGGAAGUAGAGCUAGGAACAUAAUUAAAAUCAACAUUCUCAAUUAUACCCCCAAACUAGGGGCUAUUUGAAAGGCUAUGUUAUACCACACUGCCUUGGGUUCUGCUUAGAAACUGCAUUCCACCUAGGACUAGAAGUCCAUCCCCAUUAACAUCUUUCUUCGCAACUCAUUUGAGACAUGCAGGGAUCUGGUCUCAGCAGCUGGGGACUGUGUGUAUGGGAGAGGGAGCUAAGUCCCCAAGGGUUUGCUGGGACCCUCUUGUUCCAGGUUGGGGGAAAGGAUUAUCUCCCCUUCUAAACAGUAAGCUCACUGUGGGCAGGGAACUUGUCUACCACCUCUGUCAUAUUGUACUUUCCCAAGUGCUUAGUGUACUUCUCUGCACACAGGAGGUGCUCAGUAAAUACUAUUGAUUGAUGGAUUGACUGAAGACGAAGGCAAUUCUGAAGUGGACAGCCAGACAGCCUAGCAUGCAAAUAAAAGUGACUUCUGCUCCAUAGCAAAGUAUGCUCAGAAGGGGAGUGGCAAUGACCGUUUGGACAGG